rnacentral:rRNA from 1 species
UGCGGAAGGAUCAUUAUCGAGUUUGAAGUGGGCCUUUGAGCUCUCGUACGUGCUCGGGCCCCGCUCCAAUCCACUCAACCCCUGGGCMCUUUCSSCSYUGCGGGUCACUGUUAACGCAGUCUCGUGGCUUCGUCUCUUAUCACAAACCAUUUAUUACAUGUCUUGUAGAACGUGGAUSCCUGUAAAGGCGGAAACUCAAUACAACUUUCAACAACGGAUCUCUUGGCUCUCGCAUCGAUGAAGAACGCAGCGAAAUGCGAUAAGUAAUGUGAAUUGCAGAAUUCAGUGAAUCAUCGAAUCUUUGAACGCACCUUGCGCUCCUGGACUUGUUUCAGGAGCAUGCCUGUUUGAGUGUCAUGAAAUCAUCAACCACGUUGCUUUAGUGCSCCGUGGCUUGGACUUGGGGAUUUGCGGGCGCGUUCUAGCGUCGGCUUCCCUUGAAUGCAUUAGUCGGGUGCCCUUUGCUCGAGAAGUGUGAUAAUUAUCAUUCACUGAUCGACGAGGGACCUUGUCUCGGCUUCUAACCGCAUGCUUGCAUGCAUCUUUGACACAUCUGACCUCAAAUCAGGUAGGACUACCCGCUGAACUUAAGC